CCUACGGGGGGCAGCAGUGGGGGAUAUUGCACAAUGGGGGAAACCCUGAUGCAGCGACGCCGCGUGGAGGAAGAAGGUUUUCGGAUUGUAAACUCCUGUCGUUAGGGACGAAUCAUGACGGUACCUAACAAGAAAGCACCGGCUAACUACGUGCCAGCAGCCGCGGUAAAACGUAGGGUGCAAGCGUUGUCCGGAAUUACUGGGUGUAAAGGGAGCGCAGGCGGACCGGCAAGUUGGAAGUGAAAUCUAUGGGCUCAACCUAUAAAUUGCUUUCAAAACUGCUGGCCUUGAGUAGUGCAGAGGUAGGUGGAAUUCCCGGUGUAGCGGUGGAAUGCGUAGAUAUCGGGAGGAACACCAGUGGCGAAGGCGACCUACUGGGCACCAACUGACGCUGAGGCUCGAAAGCAUGGGUAGCAAACAGGAUUAGAUACCCGAGUAGUC
rnacentral:rRNA from 1 species